rnacentral:rRNA from 1 species
AGCCUGAUGCAGCGACGCCGCGUGAGGGAUGACGGCCUUCGGGUUGUAAACCUCUUUCAGCAGGGACGAAGCGAAAGUGACGGUACCUGCAGAAGAAGCACCGGCCAACUACGUGCCAGCAGCCGCGGUAAUACGUAGGGUGCGAGCGUUGUCCGGAAUUACUGGGCGUAAAGAGCUCGUAGGCGGUUUGUCGCGUCGUCUGUGAAAACCAGCAGCUCAACUGCUGGCUUGCAGGCGAUACGGGCAGACUUGAGUACUGCAGGGGAGACUGGAAUUCCUGGUGUAGCGGUGAAAUGCGCAGAUAUCAGGAGGAACACCGGUGGCGAAGGCGGGUCUCUGGGCAGUAACUGACGCUGAGGAGCGAAAGCGUGGGUAGCGAACAGGAUUAGAUACCCUGGUAGUCCACGCCGUAAACGGUGGGCGCUAGGUGUGGGUUUCCUUCCACGGGAUCCGUGCCGUAGCUAACGCAUUAAGCGCCCCGCCUGGGGAGUACGGCCGCAAGGCUAAAACUCA